ensembl:lncRNA
GUCAGGGUUGAGGUCAUAGGCAAACACACUGUGGAAAACAGAAGUGCUGUGUUGCUUUGCCUUUGUGAAUAAGCAGUUUGGUGUUUGUUUAGUGAGACAAGCUCAUCCUGUUUUUCAGCUGCACCUUGGAUAGUAUUGAUCUGUUUGGGAGAAUGUCUGCCCCGAAUCGGCACAGAUCAGUCAUCAAGAUUCUUGUGGGCCUGGCGUUAUUUUCUAGCCAGUUGUAGGAAAUGAAACACAGGUCAAUAUGGUCUCAUCCGGGCCUCCUGUGAGCAUCAGCAAAAGAGUCAUCCAAUUUCUGGGGUCUAAAGUUCACAUCCAGUCCAUCCUAAAGGAAAUUAGUCCUGAAUGUUCAUUGGAAGGACUGAUAUUGAAGCUAAAACUCCAAUACUUUGGCCACCUGAUGCAAAGAGCUGACCCAUUUGACAAGACCCUGAUGCUGGGGAAGAUUGAAGGCAGGAGGAGAAGGGGAUGACAGAGGAUGAGAUGGUUGGAUGGCAUCACCAACUCAAUGGACAUGAAUCUGAGUGGACUCCAGGAGUUGGUGAUGGACAGGGAGGCCUGGUGUGCUGCAGUCCAUGGGGUCGCUACGAGUCGGACACGAUUGAGUGACUGGACUGAACUGAACUGAAAGUUCACAGGACACUUAGAUGUGACUUUAUAUAUCCUAUUGCAUCCUUUAUAGACUGUUAAUUAAUCAUCUUUCUUUGAAGAAGAAUUCAUUCCAAACCUAUUUUGCACUUUGCCUCUGCAUCUCCUAAGUUUGAAUCUAACUUUGGGUUUUCUGCUUUAUUCUAUUCAUUUAUUUGUCAAUCCUAUGUUGGUCUCAGAAUCUUGACUACUAUGAGGAAGUCAGGUAAUGUAAUUCCUUCAAUUUCUUUCUUGAAGAUUGCAAUUACAUUUAAUACAAUUGAAUAUUGUAGUUGUGUUUUCAUAUAAAUUUUAGAAUACAUUUAUGCAAUUCUAUAUGUACACACAAAAAGUUUGAUGGGAUUAUGAUUGGGAUAGAUCAAUUUAGGGAGAAUUGAAAUUUUAAAGUAACUAUGUGCCACAUAUAGAUAACUUAAAGAAACACAAAAUAUUUCUGAAAUUGAAGGGGAUUAUAAGGAAUCAAAUAUUAGAAACAAGUAGUAUCAAAAAGAAAGGGCUGUCCAUGAUUGACUGAUCCUUUGACAUAAAAGCAACAUUGAAAAGAGUCUUCAGGAGAUGGGAAUGGCAACCCAUUCCAGUAUUCUUGCCUGGAAAAUUCCAUGAACAGAAGAGGCUGGUGGGCUGCAGUCCAUGGGGUUACAUGACAGAGCACACACACGAGGGAGGUGAAGGAAGAUGGGUUGGUAGCAAUAAACAGAGGUAGAACUAAAAGAAAGAAAAGAGUCUUCAAAACCAUGAACAUGGUAUAUCUUUUCCAUUUACUUAGGUUUUAAUUGUUCUCAACUAUGGUUUGUAGAUCCAUUUUGUAUUUUAACAGUUAUUGAAAAACCAUGCAGAAAUAGAAUAAUAAAUACAGUUUCCAGCUCUUUACCUCAAAGGAUCUCGAUGAGUUAUAAAGAUUUCCUGGUGCAGGCUUAUACAUGUCUUCAAUACUUUUUAAGGCUGAUUAUCUAUAGUCAGUUAAAAAGAAUGUAUUGAACACUCGUUCCAGGAGUGGUGUACUAAUUCAUCAAAACCUCUUGCACGCAUUUUUUGGGUGUUGGUUUUAAACCACAGUCACUCCUUUGAAUGAAUAAUUUCUGUCACUAUGAGAUUUAUGCCCAUUGAAUAUUAAAAAUGAUCUUUUAUUGGUUAGUGUUCUAUUAAAUAUUAUUUCAUACUUUUCAUAUGAAUAGGCUCCUACUCAAAACAAUCCAUCAUUGGGACUUUCCUGGCGGUUCAGUGGUUAAGACUCCAUGCUUCCAGUGCAGGGGGCACAAGUUCAAUCUCUGGUUGGGAAACUGGGAUCCCACAUGCUGUGCAGCCAAAACAAAACAAAACAAAACAAAAACAAUCCAUCAUAGUGCUU